UCAAGAGUACGUGAAACCGUUCAGGGGUAAACCUGAGAAACCCAAAAGAUCGAAUGGGAAGAUUCAUCGUCAAUAUGUUUAAUAUUAAUAUAUAUUAUGAUAUGUUAAAAUUUUUUUAAUUUUAUAUUAUUAAAUUUUUCAUACAUAUAUAUAUUAUUUUAUUGUUAUACAUUGUCGGCGUGCACUUCUUCCCUAGUAGGACAUCGCGACCCGUUAGAUGUUGGUUUACGACCAAAUUGGGUAGACUUUAUAUAUUAAUUUAUUUUAAUUAUAUAAAGACCAAAUUGUGUUUUCUAACCAAGUAUCUGACGGUAAUCGUAUGGUAUUAAGUCGCAUAAUAAUAUAUUUUUGCGUUCUCUACCCGUCGCAAGCGAGGCCUUUUUUAUUAGUUUACAGACUUUGUGCUGUCUAAUAAAAAUUGUGCCAGCUGUUGGCUGUUUACGGUGUUCUAGAACUGACUUAUUUUAUUAUAAAUAAAAAUACCUGUCGGCGAUGCUAUUGCUUUGGGUACUUUCAGGACCCGUCUUGAAA
rnacentral:rRNA from 1 species